UACGAAGGGGGCUAGCGUUGCUCGGAAUCACUGGGCGUAAAGGGUGCGUAGGCGGGUCUUUAAGUCAGGGGUGAAAUCCUGGGAGCUCAACUCCAGAACUGCCUUUGAUACUGAAGAUCUUGAGUUCGGGAGAGGUGAGUGGAACUGCGAGUGUAGAGGUGAAAUUCGUAGAUAUUCGCAAGAACACCAGUGGCGAAGGCGGCUCACUGGCCCGAUACUGACGCUGAGGCACGAAAGCGUGGGGAGCAAACAGGG
rnacentral:rRNA from 1 species